GGGGACCCAAUUAAGGGCGUGUGGAGGAUGCCUUGACACUAAAAGGCGAUGAAGGUCGUGGCGUGACUGCGAUAAGCUUCGGGGAGCCGUCUAGCGGGCUUUGAUCCGGAGAUGACCGAAUGGGGAAACCCAAUCAGAGUUAUGUCUGAUUACCUGUCGUGUUUUACGCGAUGGG
rnacentral:rRNA from 1 species